AAAGGAAUAGCUGGGUCAAAUGGUGGUUCCAUUCUCAAUUUUCUAAGAAAUUUCCAUACCGCUUUCCAGAUUGGUUGCACCAAUUUGCAGUCCCACCAGCAU
rnacentral:pre_miRNA from 1 species